rnacentral:rRNA from 1 species
UGGGGAAUAUUGCACAAUGGGGGAAACCCUGAUGCAGCAACGCCGCGUGAAGGAUGAAGGUUUUCGGAUUGUAAACUUUUUUGAUGAGGGACGAAUAAUGACGGUACCUCAAAUNCAAGCCACGGCUAAAUACGU